rnacentral:lncRNA from 1 species
AGAAGUGAUUACAUACCUCAAAAGUCUCCUUUGGCCCUCUAUUUAUAUAUGAUGGCAGAAGUGUCAUAAGAAGCUUGAAGAAUCAGUUUGUUAGUCUUGUCUUAUCGGACGAGAUACAUUUAUUAUAUCUCAAUUUAUCUAGAGAGAUACAUCACUAUCUUUCUUUCUUAUCUACUAAUGACAGAUUAUCCUGGUGGCUCUAGAAUUUAUUUGACUAUUAUAAAUCAGACAACAAUAUCACACAUAAACCUUUUCUAUUAUUAUCAUCUUUGGUCUAUCUUGAAAAUACCUC